rnacentral:lncRNA from 12 species
AAACUGGAGGCCCCAAGGGAGAGUUGAACUGCGCAGGCGCGGGCCGAGGAAGCUAUUGCCUUCCUGAGGCCCCAAGGCCUCGGGGCGCAGGGCACUUGUUCCUCCCGCAGCGAUGCAGCCACGAGGUGUCUAGAGUUCAUCCCAGGAGACCAGCUACAGGUUCAAUUUAAAAAUUAUAACUUAGUGGGAUCCCUGGGUGGCGCAGCGGUUUGGCGCCUGCCUUUGGCCCAGGGCGCGAUCCUGGGGACCCGGGAUCGAGUCCCACGUCGGGCUCCCGGUGCGUGGAGCCUGCUUCUCCCUCUGCCUGUGUCUCUGCGCCUCUCUCUCUCUCUGUGACUAUCAUAAAUAAAUAAAAAUUAAAAAAAAAUACA